AUGAAUAAUAUAUGUACAGAAAUGAAUGACAGUCCUGGAAAAGGCAAUGAAAUAAACCUAAAACAACCUGCAGUGCUUGUACUUUCUGCCAUGGCUGAGACAGGCCUGGUUAGUCUGCCUUCACUGUUCACAGCUGUGUUGCUGCAGGCAAACAACGGAUUGUCAUCUGACCAGGCUUCAGCGAUUCUUCCAUCAAAUUUUGAAGAAGUAGCCACUGGUGUAUUGAAAGUUUUGAACAAUGUGGCAUGUUUGGAUAUCACUCUUCUGCAGUGUAUGCUGGCUAGAUCAGAUCUGAAGAUGGAAUUCUUUCAUUUGCUCAGUUCUCUUCUGAAUCAUUGCAUGCAUAAAUGGAGAGUACCAAAUGAUCAGGUGCUUUUGGACUGCUGCCAAAGGAUGUCGAGAGCAUUGUUACCGCGAAAUGCAAAGAUAAACUGUUGGAUCUCUACAACAAGAGAAGCAUCUCAGAACUGGUUGAGGUGGUCUGUGUAA
rnacentral:rRNA from 1 species